rnacentral:snoRNA from 1 species
ACUUCUAUGAUGAUUUGCACCAAUAAGCAUAGUUCAUCUGAUUUCAUGAUGACAAAACGCAACCAUCGUCUUUCGCUCCCAUCUGAUUAGAUUG